AUUUGAAAUUUGUUCAGCUUCCGCCCUAGCUUCAGACUCUCUCUCCUGUAAACUCUUAAGUUCCUUCUCUAGAGAUUCACGUGUCUCCUUUAAUUUAAUAAUUGGUGCCUGCAUAUCUCGUUUUUGUUCAUAUUCCAGCCUGCAGCAUAAAUUAUUAUUAUUAUGCUCCAAAUUUUCUACAAGGCAUCCAUGUGAGUAAAAUUUAAGAUUGUUCAAUUCAUGCAUGCGAGUCAUUUCUAUUCUAUAUAAUGUUUCAGACAACACGAAACAACUACAUGCAGAUCAAAAAGUGGGACCGUUGCAUUAUGUUUAAAUGACCUGAGGGAGUAACUGUUACUUACUGGUAUUUCAAUUUUGACAUUUGAUUACUCAGGCUUAGCUUCCUCUCCUGUAGUGCUUGAGCAUCUUUAAGUUGCCUCUCUUCAUAUUCACGGAUGUUCUUCACCCCAACUGACUUGCUAAAAUCUUUGUAAAUACGGUCCACAAUCUCAUUUAUUUUUUUCUCAAGAACUCUCACUUCCCGUUCCUUUUUACCAAUACGGGUCUCCAACUAAAGAAAUGAAAAUAGCUAUUGAUGUAAAAGUAAAGUGGAACCUAGCAAAACAACACACGAAAACAUGUAAAAUAUAUCACCUCCUCCUUUACUGGCUCAAGACGAUCGAUCUCUUCCUCUAUAUUACUCUUCUCAGAUUCCAAUCUGCGUAGCUUCUCCCUGAGAUUAUUCUGCACAAAAUAUUCAAUAUUACAAACAAUCAGAAAUGAGAUUCUCUAGGAAUGGCUGAUAAGACACGCAGACAUAAUCGGCUUGGAACUAGAAACAAAAGUGAAUUUGCAUAAGAUCCAUAUUUCAAGCAAAAAGAAAUGAAAGCAACAGUCCAUAAGAAGAUGCUAUCACAUUAUCAUCAAUUCCUCUGUCAUAUUUUCUAGCCAUUUUGACCUAAAGCCAUAUUGAAGAUAUCAUGUUUUGCAGUUACGGAACAGUAGUAACAGACAUCCAUAAAUAAUAAAAAAGAAUAAACCCAGAAAACUGUACAAACGAAAAGAAAACAGGACUCAAGGAAAAAGGGACUAGCCCAGCAACUAUAGAAACAUCAUCAACUAUCAUUGAUGAUAUCUCUUUCAGGGGGCUCAGAAUUUUGGAGCAAGCAUACCAAUGAACUGCCUUUGCCAUACAUUUAUAAGAAAAGUCAUCAACCAGUAUUUGGCUAGAAAUCAAACUUAUGUACCUACCUCUUCAACAUUCAAGUAAUGUAACUUUUUCUCAAGUCCAGUUAUUUUCUCAGACACAGCAAGCUCCUUUCUCUGUAACUCCCUGGG
rnacentral:sRNA from 1 species